GACAUGGAUGAGUAUGUUUUACGAUUGGAUAUUUUUCUUGCUUGGUUACUUGGAAGAAAUGUUAUAGUACCCUUCUCUGAUCGAAAGAAAUUUCUAGUAAAAAAAAAAAACAGAUAACAAAAUCUAGUCCUAGUAUUGUAGUAUUGUUGUAUGCUUUGGAGUUGAAGGUGCACAUUUUUAGAAUAAUGUAUGGGUUUGUCUGGACGCAUGCUUUCUUCUGGAAGGAAAGCAUUGAUGUAUGUGAAUGAAGGUGUGAAAGAAUUAACUAGUGGUCUUAGA
rnacentral:misc_RNA from 1 species